GAUGAAGAACGUAGCGAAAUGCGAUAAGUAAUGUGAAUUGCAGAAUUCAGUGAAUCAUCGAAUCUUUGAACGCACCUUGCGCCCUUUGGCCAUUCCGAAGGGCAUGCCUGUUUGAGUAUCAUGAACACCUCAACUCUUCAUGGAUUUCCAUGAUGAGCUUGGACUUUGGGGGUCUUGCCGGCCUGUGGUCGGCUCCUCUCAAAUGAAUCAGCUUACUGGUUUUUGGUGGGCAUCACAGGUGUGAUAACUAUCUACGCUUGUGGUUUUCCACCAGGGUAACCUUCAGCAGUGGAGGUUCACUGGAGCUUACAAAUGUCUCUCCUCCGUGAGGACAGCCCUUUGAAUGUUUGAUCUCAAAUCAGGUAGGACUACCCGCUGAACUUAAGCAUAUCAAUAAGCGGAGGA
rnacentral:misc_RNA from 1 species